CCUACGGGGGGCUGCAGUGAGGAAUAUUGGUCAAUGGACGAGAGUCUGAACCAGCCAAGUAGCGUGAAGGAUGACUGCCCUAUGGGUUGUAAACUUCUUUUAUAUGGGAAUAAAAUGUUCCACGUGUGGGAUUUUGUAUGUACCAUAUGAAUAAGGAUCGACUAACUCCGUGCCAGCAGCCGCGGUAAUACGGAGGAUCCGAGCGUUAUCCGGAUUUAUUGGGUUUAAAGGGAGCGUAGGUGGAUUGUUAAGUGAGUUGUGAAAGUUUGCGGCUCAACCGUAAAAUUGCAGUUGAAACUGGCAGUCUUGAGUACAGUAGAGGUGGGCGGAAUUCGUGGUGUAGCGGUGAAAUGCUUAGAUAUCACGAAGAACUCCGAUUGCGAAGGCAGUUCACUGGACUGCAACUGACACUGAGGCUCGAAAGUGUGGGUAUCAAACAGGAUUAGAUACCCGUGUAGUC
rnacentral:rRNA from 1 species